UACGUAGGCAGCAAGCGUUGUUCGGAGUUACUGGGCGUAAAGGGCGCGUAGGCGGGUUCCCAAGUCGGUGGUGAAAUCUUUCGGCCCAACCGGAAAACAGCCGCCGAUACUGGGGACCUCGAGGGAGGUAGGGGUCGAGGGAACUUCCGGUGGAGCGGUGAAAUGCGUAGAUAUCGGAAGGAACGCCGGUGGCGAAAGCGCUCGACUGGACCUCGUUCUGACGCUGAGGCGCGAAAGCCAGGGGAGCAAACGGG
rnacentral:rRNA from 1 species